rnacentral:rRNA from 1 species
GACGAACGCUGGCGGCGGGCUUAACACAUGCAAGUCGAACGGAAAGGCCCUGCUUUUGUGUGGUGCUCGAGUGGCGAACGGGUGAGUAACCCGUGAGUAACCUUCCCUUGACUUUGGGAUAACUUCAGGAAACUGGGGUUAAUACCGGAUGGGAGCUCCAGCUGCAUGGAGGGGGUUGGAAAGUUUCCGCGGGUGGGGAUGGACUCGCGGCUUAUCAGAUUGUAGGUGGGGCAGUGGCUCACCAAGGCUUUGACGGGUAGCCGGCCUGAGAGGGUGACCGGUCACAUUGGGUCUGAGUUACGGCCCACACUGCUGCGGGCGGGAGCCGUGGGGAAGAUUGUACAAUGGACGGAAGCAUGAUGCAGCAACGCCGCGUGCGGGAUGAAGGCCGUCGGAUUGUAAUGCACUUCCGCCUGUUACGUAGCGUGAAUGACGGUAAUGGGUAGAGUAGCACCGGCUAACUACGUG